AGAACCCCCAAGCGUUACCCGGAUUUAUUGGGCGUAAAGUGUCUGUAGCCGGUUUGGUAAGUCACAGGUUAAAUCCCAAGGGCUCAACCUUUGGAGUGCUUGCGAAACUGCCAGACUUGAGGGCGUUAGGGGCUGAUAGAACUCUCGGUGGAGGGGUGAAAUCCGUUGAUAUCGAGGGGAAUACCAAAAGCGAAGGCAUUCAGCUGGGGCGACCCUGACGGUGAGAGACGAAAGCGUGGGGAGCAAAAAGGAUUAGAUACCCUUGUAGUCCACGCUGUAAACCAUGGAUACUAGCUAUGUGAAGUGUCGACCCUUCACGUGGCGAAGCUAACGCGUUAAGUAUCCCGCCUGGGAAGUACGAGCGCAAGCUUA
rnacentral:rRNA from 1 species